UACGUAGGGGGCGAGCGUUGUCCGGAGUUACUGGGCGUAAAGCGCACGCAGGCGGUCUGCUAAGUUUGGAGUGACAGUUGGUGGCUUAACUGCCAAAGUGCUUCGAAAACUGACAGACUUGAGGGCUUCAGAGGGACACGGAAUUCCGGGUGGAGUGGUGAAAUGCGUAGAGAUCCGGAGGAACACCGGCGGCGAAGGCGGCCCUCUGGAUCGUUGCUGACGCUGAUACGCGAAAGCGUGGGGAGCAAACAGG
rnacentral:rRNA from 1 species